rnacentral:tRNA from 1 species
GCGAGGGUGGUGAAAUUGGUAGACACGCCAGACUUAGGAUCUGGAGCCGAUGGCAUAGGGGUUCGAGUCCCCUCCCUCGCA